rnacentral:rRNA from 1 species
UGCCUAUACAUGCAGUCGAGCGAUGGAUUAAGAGCUUGCUCUUAUGAAGUUAGCGGCGGACGGGUGAGUAACACGUGGGUAACCUGCCCAUAAGACUGGGAUAACUCCGGGAAACCGGGGCUAAUACCGGAUAACAUUUUGAACCGCAUGGUUCGAAAUUGAAAGGCGGCUUCGGCUGUCACUUAUGGAUGGACCCGCGUCGCAUUAGCUAGUUGGUGAGGUAACGGCUCACCAAGGCAACGAUGCGUAGCCGACCUGAGAGGGUGAUCGGCCACACUGGGACUGAGACACGGCCCAGACUCCUACGGGAGGCAGCAGUAGGGAAUCUUCCGCAAUGGACGAAAGUCUGACGGAGCAACGCCGCGUGAGUGAUGAAGGCUUUCGGGUCGUAAAACUCUGUUGUUAGGGAAGAACAAGUGCUAGUUGAAUAAGCUGGCACCUUGACGGUACCUAACCAGAAAGCCACGGCUAACUACGUGCCAGCAGCCGCGGUAAUACGUAGGUGGCAAGCGUUAUCCGGAAUUAUUGGGCGUAAAGCGCGCGCAGGUGGUUUCUUAAGUCUGAUGUGAANGCCCCGGCUCANCCGUGGAGGGUCAUNGNAACUGGGANACUUGAGUGCAAAAANNAAAGUGGANUNCCUGUGUAGCGGUGAAAUGCNUAAANAUNUGGAGNAACCCCAGUGGCGAAGCNACUUUUUGNCUGUAACUGACCUGAGGCNCGAAGCGUGGGGGCAANANGAUNANAUACCNNGGUAGCCNCCCNUANCNAAAGNCUAAUGUUAANGGUUCCCCCNUUAUGGNAAAUACCCNUAANNNCCCCUGGGANNCCGCCNAGUUAA